rnacentral:rRNA from 1 species
UUUGAUCCUGGCUCAGGAUGAACGCUAGCGACAGGCUUAACACAUGCAAGUCGAGGGGCAGCGGGGGAGUAGCAAUACUCCCGCCGGCGACCGGCGCACGGGUGAGUAACACGUAUGAAACCUGCUCGCAGCAGGGGGAUAAGCGGAAGAAAUUCCGUCUAAUACCGCGUAACAUCCCGGAGGGGCAUCCCUUCGGGAUUAAAGGAGCGAUCCGGCUGCGGAUGGUCAUGCGGCGCAUUAGCUGGUUGGCGGGGUAACGGCCCACCAAGGCGACGAUGCGUAGGGGUUCUGAGAGGAAGGUCCCCCACACUGGUACUGAGACACGGACCAGACUCCUACGGGAGGCAGCAGUGAGGAAUAUUGGUCAAUGGCCGAGAGGCUGAACCAGCCAAGUCGCGUGAGGGAAGACGGCCCUACGGGUUGUAAACCUCUUUUGUCAGGGAGCAAAGAACGCCACGAGUGGCGUCUCGAGAGUACCUGAAGAAAAAGCAUCGGCUAACUCCGUGCCAGCAGCCGCGGUAAUAUGGAGGAUGCGAGCGUUAUCCGGAUUUAUUGGGUUUAAAGGGUGCGCAGGCGGAAUGUCAAGUCAGCGGUAAAAUUUCGGGGCUCAACCCCGUCGUGCCGUUGAAACUGGCGUUCUUGAGUGAGCGAGAAGUAUGCGGAAUGCGUGGUGUAGCGGUGAAAUGCAUAGAUAUCACGCAGAACUCCGAUUGCGAAGGCAGCAUACCGGCGCUCAACUGACGCUCAUGCACGAAAGCGUGGGUAUCGAACAGGAUUAGAUACCCUGGUAGUCCACGCAGUAAACGAUGAAUACUAAUUGUCCGGGCCGAUUGAGGUCUGGGUGAUACAGCGAAAGCGUUAAGUAUUCCACCUGGGGAGUACGCCGGCAACGGUGAAACUCAAAGGAAUUGACGGGGGCCCGCACAAGCGGAGGAACAUGUGGUUUAAUUCGAUGAUACGCGAGGAACCUUACCCGGGCUCAAACGACGGAUGAAUGUUUUUGAAAGGAGGCAGCCCUUCGGGGCAUCCGUCGAGGUGCUGCAUGGUUGUCGUCAGCUCGUGCCGUGAGGUGUCGGCUUAAGUGCCAUAACGAGCGCAACCCCCAUCGCCAGUUACCAGCAAGUAAAGUUGGGGACUCUGGCGAGACUGCCGGCGCAAGCUGUGAGGAAGGCGGGGAUGACGUCAAAUCAGCACGGCCCUUACGUCCGGGGCGACACACGUGUUACAAUGGCAGGUACAGAGAGAAGCAAUGCGGCGACGCAGAGCGGAACUUUAAAGCCUGUCUCAGUUCGGAUUGGAGUCUGCAACCCGACUCCAUGAAGCUGGAUUCGCUAGUAAUCGCGCAUCAGCCAUGGCGCGGUGAAUACGUUCCCGGGCCUUGUACACACCGCCCGUCA